AAAGGGUCCGUAGGCGGUUUAAUAAGUCAGUGGUGAAAUCUGGUCGCUCAACGAUCAAACGGCCAUUGAUACUGUUAGACUUGAAUUAUAAGGAAGUAACUAGAAUAUGUAGUGUAGCGGUGAAAUGCUUAGAUAUUACAUGGAAUACCAAUUGCGAAGGCAGGUUACUACUUAUGGAUUGACGCUGAUGGACGAAAGCGUGGGGAGCGAACAGGAUUAGAUACCCGAGU
rnacentral:rRNA from 1 species